rnacentral:rRNA from 1 species
CAUGCAAGUCGAACGAUGAACCACUUCGGUGGGGAUUAGUGGCGAACGGGUGAGUAACACGUGGGCAAUCUGCCCUGCACUCUGGGACAAGCCCUGGAAACGGGGUCUAAUACCGGAUACUGACCCUCGCAGGCAUCUGCGAGGUUCGAAAGCUCCGGCGGUGCAGGAUGAGCCCGCGGCCUAUCAGCUUGUUGGUGAGGUAAUGGCUCACCAAGGCGACGACGGGUAGCCGGCCUGAGAGGGCGACCGGCCACACUGGGACUGAGACACGGCCCAGACUCCUACGGGAGGCAGCAGUGGGGAAUAUUGCACAAUGGGCGAAAGCCUGAUGCAGCGACGCCGCGUGAGGGAUGACGGCCUUCGGGUUGUAAACCUCUUUCAGCAGGGAAGAAGCGAAAGUGACGGUACCUGCAGAAGAAGCGCCGGCUAACUACGUGCCAGCAG